GAUGAACGCUGGCGGCGUGCCUAAUACAUGCAAGUCGAGCGAACAGACGAGGAGCUUGCUCCUCUGACGUUAGCGGCGGACGGGUGAGUAACACGUGGAUAACCUACCUAUAAGACUGGGAUAACUUCGGGAAACCGGAGCUAAUACCGGAUAAUAUAUUUAACCGCAUGGUUCAAUAGUGAAAGACGGAUUUGCUGUCACUUAUAGAUAGAUCCGCUCCGCAUUAGCUAGUUGGUAAGGUAACGGCUUACCAAGGCAACGAUGCGUAGCCGACCUGAGAGGGGGAUCGGCCAAAUGGGAACGGAGCCACGGCCCAGACUCCUACGGGAGGAAGCAGUAGGGAACCUUCCGCAAUGGGCGAAAGCCUGACGGAGAAACGCCGCGUGAGUGAUGAAGGUCUUCGGAUCGUAAAACUCUGUUAUUAGGGAAGAAGAAAUGUGUAAGUAAAUAUGCACGUAUUGACGGUACCUAAUCAGAAAGCCACGGCUAACUACGUG
rnacentral:rRNA from 1 species